GGCUGGGUGGUGUAGUUGGUUAUCACAUCUGUCUAACACACAGAAGGUCCCGAGUUCAAGUCUCGGCCGAGUCA